AAUUUUAGUAAUUAAGGCUGGUUCUCAUUUUUGUUCUCCAUUUACAUUUUAUUGGAGAUAUAUAAUUUGAAAAAUAUAUACCAUUUCACAUAGAUAUGUGAUUUGGAAAAGCAUAAAAAAUGAUCAACAAUAUCAUGACCAUAUUCUUGUAUGAGGGUGGCAAGGAAUGAAAUACAAAAUAAAAAUAACAACAAUAAAAUGAGUGGGAAAACACUCAAAUGUUGCUAUAAAUAUCUUUACACACUGUACCAGCUUCCUCGAUACUCAUUCUUUUUUUUGUGUGUGUUUCUCUCUCUAACCAUGUUUCCUCAGAUACUCAUCCAUAUUUUCCUUUGCCUUACUCUUCCACAUUUAUCCUCUACACAUCCAAUAUAUACUUGCUUUGUUAAUUAUUGUUCAUUCAUUUGCUCCACAUGACCAAAC
rnacentral:lncRNA from 1 species